rnacentral:rRNA from 1 species
CACCAGACUCCUACGGGAGGCAGCAGUGGGGAAUAUUGCACAAUGGGGGAAACCCUGAUGCAGCAACGCCGCGUGGGUGAAGGAGCGUUUCGGCGCGUAAAGCCCUAUCAGCAGGAAAGAAAAUGACGGUACCUGACUAAGAAGCCCCGGCUAACUACGUGCCAGCAGCCGCGGUAAUACGUAGGGGGCAAGCGUUAUCCGGAUUUACUGGGUGUAAAGGGAGCGUAGACGGCAGUGCAGGUCCGGAGUGAAAGCCCGGGGCUCAACCCUGGGACUGCGCUGGAAACUGUAAAGCUGGAGUGCGGGAGGGGCAGGCGGAAUUCCUGGUGUAGCGGUGAAAUGCGUAGAUAUCAGGAGGAACACCGGCGGCGAAGGCGGCCUGCUGGACCGUAACUGACGUUGAGGCUCGAAAGCGUGGGGAGCAAACAGGAUUAGAUACCCGAGUAGU